rnacentral:rRNA from 1 species
GAUGAACGCUGGCGGCGUGCCUAAUACAUGCAAGUCGAGCGAACAGACGAGGAGCUUGCUCCUCUGACGUUAGCGGCGGACGGGUGAGUAACACGUGGAUAACCUACCUAUAAGACUUGGAUAACUUCGGGAAACCGGAGCUAAUACCGGAUAACAUGUUGAACCGCAUGGUUCAACAGUGAAAGACGGUCUUGCUGUCACUUAUAGAUGGAUCCGCGCCGCAUUAGCUAGUUGGUAAGGUAACGGCUUACCAAGGCAACGAUGCGUAGCCGACCUGAGAGGGUGAUCGGCCACACUGGGACUGAGACACGGUCCAGACUCCUACGGGAGGCAGCAGUAGGGAAUCUUCCGCAAUGGGCGAAAGCCUGACGGAGCAACGCCGCGUGGGUGAUGAAGGUCUUCGGAUCGUAAAACUCUGUUAGUAGGGAAGAACAAAUGUGUAAGUAACUAUGCACGUCUUGACGGUACCUAAUAAGAAAGCAACGGCUAACUACGUG